rnacentral:rRNA from 1 species
AGCAGCCGCGGUAAUUCCAGCUCCAAUAGCGUAUAUUAAAGUUGUUGCAGUUAAAAAGCUCGUAGUUGAAUUUCGGGACUAAUAUGUCGGUCGUACUUUGUACGUACUAGCAUUAUUGGUUUCUCCCUUCUGACGAACCACGAUGUCAUUAAUUUGGUGUCGCGGGAAAUCAGGACUGUUACUUUGAAAAAAUUAGAGUGUUUAAAGCAAGCUCGCGCUUGAAUACAUUAGCAUGGAAUAAUGAAAUAGGACGUUUGAUUCUAUUUUGUUGGUUUCUAGGAUCGACGUAAUGAUUAAUAGGGAUAGUUGGGGGCAUUAGUAUUCAAUUGUCAGAGGUGAAAUUCUUGGAUUUAUUGAAGACUAACUACUGCGAAAGCAUUUGCCAAGGAUGUUUUCAUUAAUCAAGAACGAAAGUUAGGGGAUCGAAGACGAUCAGAUACCGUCGUAGUCUUAACCAUAAACUAUGCCGACUAGGGAUCGGAUGAUGUAAUUUUUAAUGACUCAUUCGGCGCCUUACGGG